rnacentral:rRNA from 1 species
CAGUAGCCACGGGAAUACGAAGGGUGCAAGCGUUAAUCGGAAUUACUGGGCGUAAAGCGUGCGUAGGCGGUGAGUUAAGUCUGCUGUGAAAUCCCCGGGCUCAACCUGGGAAUGGCAGUGGAUACUGGCUCGCUAGAGUGUGUCAGAGGAUGGUGGAAUUCCCGGUGUAGCGGUGAAAUGCGUAGAGAUCGGGAGGAACAUCAGUGGCGAAGGCGGUCAUCUGGGACAACACUGACGCUGAGGCACGAAAGCGUGGGGAACAAACAGGAUUAGAUACCCGCGUAGUCCCUGUCUCUUAUAC